rnacentral:rRNA from 1 species
UAUACCGUGAAACUGCGAAUGGCUCAUUAAAUCAGUUAUCGUUUAUUUGAUAAUACCUUACUACUUGGAUAACCGUGGUAAUUCUAGAGCUAAUACAUGCUGAAAAUCCCGACUUCGGAAGGGAUGUGUUUAUUAGAUAAAAAACCAAUGCCCUUCGGGGCUUUUUGGUGAUUCAUGAUAACUUUACGGAUCGCAUAGCCUUGCGCUGGCGACGGUUCAUUCAAAUUUCUGCCCUAUCAACUUUCGAUGGUAAGGUAUUGGCUUACCAUGGUUUCAACGGGUAACGGGGAAUUAGGGUUCGAUUCCGGAGAGGGAGCCUGAGAAACGGCUACCACAUCCAAGGAAGGCAGCAGGCGCGCAAAUUACCCAAUCCCGACACGGGGAGGUAGUGACAAUAAAUACUGAUACAGGGCUCUUUUGGGUCUUGUAAUCGGAAUGAGUACAAUUUAAACCUCUUAACGAGGAACAAUUGGAGGGCAAGUCUGGUGCCAGCAGCCGCGGUAAUUCCAGCUCCAAUAGCGUAUAUUAAAGUUGUUGCAGUUAAAAAGCUCGUAGUUGAAACUUGGGCCUGGCUGGCGGGUCCGCCUCACCGCGUGCACUCGUCCGGCCGGGCCUUCCUUCUGACGAACCUCAUGCCCUUCACUGGGCGUGCUGGGGAAUCAGGACUUUUACUUUGAAAAAAUUAGAGUGUUCAAAGCAGGCCUUUGCUCGAAUACGUUAGCAUGGAAUAAUAAAAUAGGGCGUGCGUUUCUAUUUUGUUGGUUUCUAGAGACGCCGCAAUGAUUAACAGGAACAGUCGGGGGCAUCAGUAUUCAGUUGUCAGAGGUGAAAUUCUUGGAUUUACUGAAGACUAACUACUGCGAAAGCAUUUGCCAAGGAUGUUUUCAUUAAUCAGUGAACGAAAGUUAGGGGAUCGAAGACGAUCAGAUACCGUCGUAGUCUUAACCGUAAACUAUGCCGACUAGGGAUCGGGCGAUGUUCUUUUUCUGACUCGCUCGGCACCUUACGAGAAAUCAAAGU